GCCAUUAACAGACGUAAGACCUCGCUUGGAAAUUUGGCGACGUGAAGCUUUACCAAUCUGGAAAACAUUUCCAACACUUGAUCCACGCACAGGGGAAGUGAUUGCUCACGUUGCUGAAGGUGAUGCUGAAGAUAUUAACCGUGCAGUUUCAGCAGCUCGUGAGGCCUUUCAUAAUGGACCUUGGCCUAAAAUGAAUGCUUAUGUAAGCAUUUCCUUCAGAGUGUCCUUUCUUACAUGAACUUAUAUUAGUUUUAAAAUUACGUUGAUGAUGACUUAUUGCUGCGUUUUGCUGAUUUGGUUGAGAAGCACAAUGCUAAGAUUGCAGCUCUGGAGGCAUGGAACAAUGGAAAGCUUUAUUAACAGGCUGACAAAGCUGAAGUACCUAUGUUUGUGCGUUUAUUUCGUUAUUAUGCUGGAUUAUGGUAUCGAUUUUGACGAUGAUGAUUAGAAUGUGGCGCUGUUUUGGUGCAAAUAUGGCAGUAAAUUAUGCAG